CUCCUUCAAAGGCACACAAGGUGGGACUGUCCAGUUACAGGGAACACACUUCAGAGUUUCUACCAAUUCUACAUUAUGGUCCCAGCUUCAAAUCAAUGCAGCCUCUAUUGCUUCCUGAUGCUUGAUAACAUCACUUAUGUUGCCCAGGAAGAGCUUUGAGUUACUGAUGACUCUCAUUCCAUGUCGCUAUGUGUUCAUUCACUCUGCAAUGAUUUACUGAAUGCCUUCUAUGUACCAAGCACUCUGCCAGGUGCUUGGGUACAAAAGGUUGCCACAUAACUUGGCUCAUAGCUUCUUCCUCUAUCUUCAAAGCCAGUGCUGGCUGAUUGCAUCUCCCGCUGGCCACCAACAGAAAAAGUUCUCCAAUUUUGAGGACUUCCGUGAUUUUAUUGGGCCCACCCAGAUAAUUCAGGGUCCUCUCUCCCGCUCGAGGUUCUUAAUAAAACCACAUCUGCAAAUUCUCUUUUCCAGGAAAGCUCUGUAGACAACGAUUGUAACAGAACUGAGAAAGUGAAACCAAAAAGUGGAAAUACAACUCUAGUGCCCUGAGGAAGAUGGUGAAUGAGUUAAGCAUUAAUAUUACAGGAAAGAAGACUGGAUCCAGACCCAAGAGAGGGUUCUUGUAUCUCAGGCAAGAAAGAAUUCUGGGCAAGUUCACAGAGGAAAAUGAAAGCACAUUUAUUAAGAAAGUAAAGCAAUAAAACAAAAACAAUGGCUACUCCACAGACACAGCAGCUCUGAGGCUGCUGGAUGGCUACUUUCAAGUAUGAGUUUUCUUGUUUCAAGACAGCUUUCCUUCUCAUGCUCCUUUGAUCCUGUGGUUCUGCAAUCUUCAGCAUUCAGAUCAAGGUGGCUGUAUUCAUUUUCAAGCCAGAGAAUGGAAGGAAUAAGAAGUAUGGCACAUGAAUGUUAUUAUGAUCCAGCUGUGGAAGUAACAUCACUUUCAUUCACAUUCUAUUGGCACUCGGUCACAUGACUACAUUUAACCACAAGACAGGUUGGAAAGUAUGUACUAUCUGUGCGCCCAGGAAAACAGAAAAGCAUUGGUGCAGUGUUUGGAAGUUGAGAGGAAAAAUCACAGAUGUACCAAAAACCACCAUAUGCCCAAGGUCAAUAACAAACUGGAAUCAGCAUUAAUCAUCAGAGGAUCUUCAGAAAUUUUGAUUAACAUCAGUAGAAGGGAUAGAAAGGUUGAUGGCAGCACAAGGCUUUGGAACGAGACUAUCUAAGUUCAAAUCUGGACCCCACCACUCUCAAGAUCCCUCACUCUUUACUACUUAUGCAAAUUGAGGAAGUUAUUUAAUGUCUGCUUGUGAGCAGGUUUCUUUAAUCUCUAAAAUGAAUCUUAUAACAAAUGGACCU
ensembl:lncRNA novel transcript, antisense to TRDN